GGAGCCGCGCUCCGAAACGACCCUCCUUGUAUCGUAUAAAGCGUGUUCUCGACCCAUAGACUAAGCAGUGAUCGCUGGGUCGAGAACACGCUCGCGGAAAGGGCCGUUAAUCGCUUGGGAAAAAUGCACGACCAUGCGGUGGUUGUUAACGUUACACCGAGAAAAGUUUACCUCGUGCUCGAGGAUGGUUCUGUCUUCCCGGGAAGGCAUUUUGGCGCGGAGAAACCCGUCGAUGGUGAAAUAGUGUUCCAGACCGGUAUGGUGGGUUAUCCGGAAUCACUUACAGAUCCUUCCUACCAUGCUCAAAUUUUAGUGCUCACGUAUCCGCUGAUUGGAAAUUAUGGCGUGUUUGGAAACGAACUGGACGAACAUAAAAUCCCAUAUUGGUUCGAAUCUCAUCGAAUCUGGGCCGCUGGCCUGGUGGUCGGCGAGAUCUGCGAAACUCCGAGUCAUUGGCGGCAAACGAGAACGCUGUCCGAAUGGAUGAAGGAACAAAAUAUUCCCGGAAUAUACGAAAUCGACACAAGAGCAUUGACGAAAAUUAUUCGCGAAAAGGGUAGCAUAUUGGGUAGAAUCGUUUUCGAUCAACCAGUUGUAAAUUCUCUCCCUCUGGAUCCACCUAUAACGGAUCCGAACAAGAGGAAUCUCGUUGCGGAAGUGUCGCAGAGCGUACAAAGAACGUAUAAUCCCAGCGGUUCUCCUCGUAUAUGCGUUAUAGACUGCGGUCUAAAGUACAAUCAAUUGAGGUGCUUGAUUAGUCGAGGUGCUCGCGUGGAUGUCGUGCCGUGGGAUUGUGACGUGAGUAAGCUGAAAUACGAUGGCUUAUUCCUCAGCAAUGGACCGGGUGAUCCGAGCAAAUGUAAUGCAACGGUGGCGAACAUUCGAACCGUUCUUGAACAACGACCAAAGAAACCGAUUUUCGGUAUUUGCCUUGGUCAUCAGUUGCUCUGCAUCGCUGCCGGUUGUUUAACGUACAAGAUGAGUUACGGAAAUCGUGGCCACAAUCAACCAGUUACACAUCACGGAACCGGUCGUUGCUUCAUGACCUCGCAAAACCACGGGUUUGCGGUCGACGCGGGUCAGUUGCCAGAGAAUUGGGAGGCACUCUUCACUAACACGAAUGACAAAAGCAACGAAGGCAUUGUGCAUUCGACUAUGCCUUAUUUUUCCGUUCAAUUUCAUCCCGAGCACACUGCCGGUCCUCAGGAUUUAGAAUGCUUGUUCGACGUGUUCUUGGACGCCGUAAAGGACGAAACGAAGGGUGUAGCGGAGAUCUCGAUGAAAGAGAGAUUGAAUGAAAAAUUGAGAUUCCGUAGGGAGCAGCCGGAUAACAUGGUCAUCCGGCCGAAGAAGGUGUUAAUUUUGGGAUCGGGCGGUCUCAGCAUCGGCCAGGCAGGCGAAUUCGACUACUCUGGAUCGCAAGCGAUCAAGGCGUUGAAGGAAGAAUGCGUGCAAACGCUUCUGAUCAAUCCGAACAUCGCGACCGUACAAACCACCAAAGGCAUGGCCGAUAAAGUCUACUUUCUGCCGAUUAUACCUGAAUACGUGGAACAGGUGAUACGAUCGGAACGUCCCGACGGUGUGCUGUUAACAUUUGGUGGACAAACUGCUCUCAAUUGCGGCGUCGAGCUCGAGAAGAGCGGUGUGUUCGAAAAGUACAACGUAAAAAUUCUAGGAACACCUAUACAAUCGGUGAUAGAAACCGAGGACAGAAAGCUAUUCGCCGAACGCAUCGCUCAGAUAAAUGAAAAAGUAGCACCGAGUGCCGCGGUGUACUCUAUUCAAGAGGCACUGGACGCAGCUGGAAAACUAGGCUACCCCGUGAUGGCCAGAGCUGCGUUUUCCCUCGGAGGUUUGGGUUCGUUCUUCGCUAAUACCAAGGAAGAGUUAUGCACUCUGGCCCAGCAAGCUUUUGCUCACUCUAACCAACUGAUCAUCGAUAAAUCGUUGAAGGGUUGGAAAGAAGUCGAGUACGAAGUGGUUCGAGACGCGUACGAUAAUUGCAUCACAGUAUGCAACAUGGAGAACGUCGAUCCUCUCGGUAUUCACACCGGUGAGUCGAUCGUUAUUGCUCCGAGCCAGACUUUGUCGAAUAAAGAGUACAAUAUGCUUCGAACGACUGCCAUCAACGUCAUUAGACAUUUCGGCAUCAUUGGCGAGUGUAACAUUCAAUACGCGUUGAAUCCGAACACCGCAGAAUAUUAUAUCAUCGAAGUAAACGCAAGAUUGUCUCGAAGCUCGGCUUUGGCGAGUAAAGCGACCGGUUACCCGUUAGCUUACGUGGCCGCCAAGUUGGCACUUGGUAUUCGCCUACCUGAUAUUCACAACAGCGUCACUGGAAAAACAACGGCUUGCUUUGAGCCUAGCCUCGACUAUUGCGUGGUCAAGAUUCCAAGAUGGGACUUGGGGAAAUUUCAACGAGUCAGCACGAAGAUUGGUAGCUCUAUGAAGAGCGUAGGAGAAGUGAUGGCGAUUGGGCGCAAAUUCGAGGAAGCCUUUCAGAAGGCUCUGAGAAUGGUGGACGAGAAUAUUACUGGUUUCGAUCCGUAUGUGAAAACUCCGAACGACGAGGAAUUGGAAAAGCCAACUGACAAGAGAAUGUUCGUUCUCGCUGCUUCGAUCAAGGCUGGAUACACGAUCGAUCGAUUAUACGAAUUGACAAAGAUAGAUCGAUGGUUCCUGCAUAAGAUGAAGAAUAUUAUUGACUACUAUGUGGUACUGGAGAACACCGACCACACAAAAUUGUCUCACGAUGUUUUGCUAGGCGCGAAACGGAUUGGAUUUUCAGACAAGCAAAUCGCAGCGGCUGUAAAGAGCUCGGAAUUAGCUGUUAGAAUACAAAGGCAAGAGAGCAAUAUACGACCGAUGGUGAAGCAAAUAGACACGGUGGCUGCAGAAUGGCCAGCGACAACAAAUUAUCUUUAUAUAACUUACAACGGAACUACGCACGACGUAGAUUUUCCUGGCGGAUACACAAUGGUGAUAGGUUCCGGCGUUUAUCGAAUCGGCAGUUCGGUGGAAUUCGAUUGGUGUGCCGUGAGUUGUCUGCGCGAGUUGCGAAAUUUAGGAAGGAAAACGAUCAUGAUCAAUUACAACCCAGAAACGGUCAGUACCGACUACGAUAUGAGCGAUCGAUUGUACUUCGAGGAAAUAUCGUUUGAAGUGGUGAUGGACAUUUAUGACCACGAAUGUCCGGAGGGAAUAAUUCUUUCGAUGGGCGGUCAAUUACCGAACAACAUCGCUAUGGAUCUCCACAGGCAGCAAGCCAGAAUUCUUGGAACUUCGCCGGAGUCUGUGGACGGAGCUGAAAAUCGGUUUAAAUUUUCCCGCAUGCUGGACGGCAUAGGAAUUUCUCAACCCAGGUGGAAAGAAUUGACGAACCUGAAGUCCGCUAUCGAGUUCUGCGACGAAGUGGGCUAUCCUUGCUUGGUGCGCCCAUCGUACGUGUUGAGCGGAGCCGCGAUGAACGUGGCCCAUUCGAACCACGAUCUAGAGUCGUAUUUGAAAAGCGCCAGCGAGGUGAACAAAGAGCACCCAGUAGUCAUCUCGAAGUUUAUUCUCGAAGCGAAGGAGAUAGACGUGGACGCGGUUGCCUAUGACGGGGUAAUUCUGUGUAUGGCGGUGUCGGAACACGUGGAGAACGCGGGUGUGCAUUCGGGUGAUGCUACCCUCGUUACUCCACCACAGGACAUCAAUGCUGAAACGUUAGCGAAAAUAAAAAUGAUGUCAAAGGCAAUUGCCGCCUCCCUUGGUGUAACUGGUCCCUUCAACAUGCAACUGAUAGCGAAGGACAACGAACUAAAAGUCAUCGAGUGUAACGUCAGGGUAUCUAGAUCGUUUCCUUUCGUCUCGAAAACCUUGGACCACGAUUUCGUAGCUAUGGCCACGCGACUGAUUGUCGGAGAAUCCGUCGAACCAGUUGACGUUCUCGCCGGAUGCGGCAAAGUCGGCGUUAAAGUUCCGCAAUUUUCCUUCUCGCGCCUUGCCGGUGCGGAUGUAAUGUUGGGCGUGGAGAUGGUGUCCACCGGGGAGGUUGCUUGUUUCGGUGACAAUCGGUACGAGGCUUACUUGAAAGGAACGAUGAGCACCGGCUUUCAUAUACCGCAAAAGGGAAUUUUACUUUCCAUAGGAAGUUUCAAGCACAAAAUGGAAUUGCUACCGUCGAUUCAAAGUCUCCAUAAAAUGGGAUACAAAUUAUACGCCAGCAUGGGAACAGCAGAUUUCUAUACCGAACACGGAGUGGAGGUAGAACCAGCGCAAUGGACCUUCGAGAAUAUCAGCGUGAACGAAGAUUCCAGCCCGAGCGAUCUAAGACAUUUGGCCGAUUUCCUUUCCAAAAAGCAAUUUGAUCUUGUAAUUAAUUUGCCAAUGCGGAACGGCGGUGCACGGCGAGUCUCGAAUUUUAUGACGCACGGAUAUCGCACCAGAAGGCUCGCGGUCGAUUAUUCCGUUCCUCUAAUCACAGACGUUAAAUGUGCCAAAUUGCUCGUCGAAGCUAUGAGAAUGCUUGGCGGUCGAGCACCACGUAUGAAAACUCACACAGAUUGCAUGUCUUCACGAACGAUGAUCAAGCUUCCUGGCUUGAUCGACGUUCACGUGCACACCCGUGAUCCUGGAACAGUUUACAAGGAAGAUUUUGCUUCUUGCACCGCGGCUGCGCUCGCCGGAGGCAUCACGGUAAUCUUCGCAAUGCCCAACACCUACCCUGCUGUCGUCGAUCAUCAGUCUUUCGCCCUGGCCAAGGAACGUGCUCUCUCCAGUGCGAGAUGCGAUUACGCAAUUUAUAUCGGCGCUUCGUCGGAUAAUUACAGUAUAACAGCCGAGCUGGCUCCGCUGACAGCGGGUCUCAAGAUGUAUCUCAAUGAAACCUUUACGACACUUCGAUUGACCGAUUUGACAAUAUGGAUAAAGCAUUUUCAAAGUUGGCCAAAACGGUACCCUCUUUGCGUACAUGCCGAGGGUCAGACCACGGCUGCGAUCCUUCUUCUGGCCGGCUUGCACAACAGACCCAUUCACGUGUGUCACGUAGCCCGAAAAGAAGAGAUCCAAAUUAUACGCGCUGCUAAGGAGAAGGGAAUGGCCGUCACCUGCGAAGUAUGCCCUCAUCAUUUAUUCCUGUGCGAGGAUGAUCUCGAGCGAAUAGGACACGGACGGGGUCAAGUGAGACCAGUAUUGGGAACCAGGGAGGAUCAGCAAGCUCUCUGGGAAAAUUUAGAUGUGAUCGAUUGCUUCGCCACAGAUCACGCACCGCACACGGUACAAGAGAAAUGCAGCGAGACACCACCGCCAGGAUUUCCUGGACUCGAAACCAUGCUUCCGCUUUUAUUGACCGCGGUUCACGAGGGAAAAAUGACCAUAGAGGACGUGGUGGACAAGCUGUACAGAAAUCCGAAAAAGAUCUUUAACGUACCGGAUCAGCCAAAUACCUAUAUCGAGGUUGAUCUCGACGACGAAUGGGUAAUUCCGGAAGCGAUGCCUUUUAGUAAAUCAAAGUGGACUCCGUUCGCUGGGAUGAAAGUUCGAGGAUCGGUGCACAGGGUGGUACUUCGAGGGGAGGUCGCUUACGUCGAAGGGCAAGUUUUGGUAAAUCCUGGCUUUGGUCAAGAUAUCAGAGAAAUUCAAGCUAAAACGAAACAUCUAAUUGCGACUACUGCACCGAUCCUCGACGUUGUUGUUAGUCGGCCGAACUCUGCGUUGGACGGUCUGUUGUCACCGAAUUACGACAUAACCGAAGAAGAGCAAAAUGAUUCGUACGCGCAGCUUUUGCAACCGACAUCACAGAAAUCGAACGUUCACUUUUCCGUGGACGUAGAAUCUCGGGAACAGACAAAAGUUCCAACGUUACAACGCAACAUUUCACCGCUUCCCAUUAGCAACGCGACUAGGUACAAAAGCGACAGCAAUCCCAAUCUCCUCCUGACGACCGUGACACCUGUUCCCCCUGUUCCCCCUGUUCACAUUAGCCACAACCUGGUCGGGCACAACAUUUUGUCCGUAGACAUUUUCACGAAAGAAUCGUUAAAGGACGUAUUUAAUCUCGCCGAAAUGCUUCGCAGCGCUGUUAGGAAAGAACGAUCUUUGGACCAUAUUUUACGGGGAAAAGUGAUGGCAUCGAUCUUUUACGAAGUCAGUACCAGAACUUCUUGCAGUUUUGCCGCGGCGAUGGAACGGCUCGGCGGUCGUGUGAUAUCCAUGGAUGGUACUACAUCGUCUGUGAAAAAAGGGGAGACUUUAGAAGAUUCGGUCGCGGUGAUGGCUGGAUACGCGGACGUAGUGGUUCUUCGUCACCCUGAACCGGGUGCGGUAUCGAGAGCCGCGCAGCAUUGUAGAAAGCCAUUACUCAAUGCCGGCGAUGGUGUCGGCGAGCACCCAACUCAAGCGAUGCUCGACAUCUUUACCAUCAGAGAUGAAAUUGGUACAGUGAACGGUCUCACCAUCACCAUGGUCGGGGACCUGAAGCAUGGUAGAACCGUCCAUUCUUUGGCAAGGCUAUUGACUUUGUACAACGUGGAACUUCGGUACGUUUGUCCUCCUGGACUUGGCAUGCCUGACCAUGUGGUAAAAUACGUGUCCGAGCGUGGAAUCCCACAGGAAAAGUUUAACACACUAGAGGAGGCUCUUCCCGACACAGACGUUCUUUACAUGACGCGCAUUCAGAAAGAACGUUUCGCCACUCAGGCGGAAUAUCGACAGGUUUGCGGACAUUUCGUAAUCACUCCACAAUUGAUGUCUCGAGCGAAGAGGAAGAUGGUCGUGAUGCAUCCGUUGCCCCGCGUUUUCGAGAUCAGCACAGAGUUCGAUACCGAUCCCCGUGCCGCUUACUUCCGGCAAGCUGAAAACGGCGUCUAUGUUCGAAUGGCUCUAUUGGCGAUGGUCCUUGGACGCGCGUGAUUUCUAGAGAGCCUAAAUCAUACCCGUACGUACACACACGGCUUGUGGGUCAAGACCGUUCCGAUUUUGAGAGAAGAAGAAACGAUAGGAAAAAAACAAAAUUCUUGACCGUAUUUCCAGUUAGACUGAUUCAUGUACAUUCUUUUAUCUUGGAUCAAAGGAACAAGGAGCUGGAACUUAUCAUAGACGGUGAUAAAGCAGCACAGUUGCACGAUAUAUUUUUCAUCGGUUUGCAGAUCGAAACUUUGUACUCGUUUCGAUUACGUACACGAUAAAAGAAGAAUUUUUAUGAAACAUCCGAUGGACACGAUGCAAUUCUCACCUCGUUUCUUUACGGAUGGACGUAAGAAGCCGCGCGUGUGAAAGGUAAUAAAAUUUUUUAUUUUUGAAUAAUACCAAUUUAUAUACAUUGUUCCUCGUAUCUACAUGUACAUAUGUUAUGCCUAUAAAUAGAUACUCGUCUGAAAAUAA